UUCGACUGUUUACCAAAAACAUAGCUUCCUGAAAUUAAAAGAAGUAAAGUCUGCCCAGUGACAACGUUUAACGGCCGCUUAUGUGCUAAGGUAGCAUAAUAAUUUGCCUUUUUAUUGGAGGCUAGUAUGAAUGGACAAACGAAGCUUAACUGUCUCUUUUUAAAAAACAAAAUUGAUUUUUAAGUGAAAAAUCUUAAAUAAAGAUGUAGGACGAAAAGACCCUAUAGAGUUUAAAUAAAAUAUUUUUAUUGGGGCAAUAAAAGAACAAAAGAAACUCUUUUAAAAUUACAAUAGUAAAAGAGAUCCUUAAAGAGAAAAAAGAAAAACUACCUUAGGGAUAACAGCGUAAUUCUUUCAGAGAGGCCUAAUCGAAGAAAGAGUUUGCGACCUCGAUGUUGGACUAAGGUAACAAAAAAGUGCAGAAGCUUUUUGAAGUAGGCCUGUUCGGCCUUUAAAACCUUACAUGAUUUGAGUUUCAUUCCGUAAACC
rnacentral:rRNA from 1 species